rnacentral:misc_RNA from 1 species
ACACUUAAUGUUCUUAACUCAUGUGCAAAGGUCCCAUCAAUCAAACGAGUUGUCUUGACAUCAUCAGUUGCUGCAGUUGCUUACAAUGGAAAACCUCGGACUCCAGAGGUAGUAGUGGAUGAAACUUGGUUUUCUGAUCCGGACUUCUGUAAGGAAUCAAAGCUUUGGUAUUUGCUCUCAAAGACCUUGGCUGAGGAUGCUGCAUGGAAAUUUGCAAAAGAGAAGGGCAUAGACCUGGUUGUCAUAAAUCCAGCAAUGGUGAUUGGUCCUCUCCUACAACCAACGCUUAAUACAAGUUCUGCUUCAAUUUUAAGCUUGGUAAAAGGAGCACACACUUUCCCCAAUGCAACUUUUGGAUGGGUAAAUGUUAAAGAUGUUGCCAAUGCACAUAUUCAAGCAUUAGAGAUUCCGUCAGCAAAUGGACGAUACUGUUUGGUUGAGAGAGUUGCACACUACUCAGAGGUAGUGAAUAUGUUGCGAGAGCUUUACCCAGAUUUCCAACUUCCAGAAAAGUGUGUGGACGAUAAACCUUAUGUGCCAACAUAUCAGGUGUCCAAGGAAAAAGCAAAAGGCCUGGGUAUUGACUUCAUACCCUUGGAUGUGAGCUUAAAGGAAACAGUUGAGAGCUUAAAGGAGAAAGGAUUUAUCAUAUUUUGAGCAUUUUCUUUUGUUGAUAAAUAAACAUGGAACCUGGAACUUGUGUUGGCCCUGUGGUCUUGGUUUGGUGACUUUUGAAAUAUGGUUUACAUUUUGUAAGCUUGUAUAAAUGGAACUAUUGUCUCUUUAGCUGCGUUGUUUUCAGAUGAUGAAACCUGAAAUCUCAAUAUGAGGUUUUUAUGCCGAAUAGUAGUGGGUAAUAUGUAAUGAGUGUUGUAUGAAUUUUGCUAAAUCAAAGUGGGAAAGGAAAUUGAGUCCUUUCAGUAUAAACCC